rnacentral:SRP_RNA from 1 species
CGGUUGGACACGUGCAAGGGGGUCCGCGAACCCCGCCAGGUCCGAGAGGAAGCAACGGUAGCGAUCACUUCCUGUGCCACGUUCUCCGACCGCCG